ACAAUGCCGUCUCAAAAUUCUUAUCUUAAAUUUGUCUACAUACGGAUGUAUCUAUUCAUAUUUUAGUGUUAGAUACAUCCGUACCUAGAUAAAUUUAAGACAAGAAUUUUGGAACGAGGGAGUAUAUG
rnacentral:pre_miRNA from 1 species